ensembl:lncRNA CELF2-DT CELF2 divergent transript
AAAAGCGCCAUGAAGACUCACGUGCAGCUUCCUGAGGAAUCUGUGUUUCACCCUAGAAGCAAUGGGAGGCCACUAAGAAGCUAGAGUCAUCCUAACAAGAGUGAUAGUCUUUCCCCAAGUGAGACCAGGCUGUGCUGUCUGGGGAAAAGCAUUGCUGGCCUUGUCGAGAUGCACCGACGACUCAGCUCAGCUAAGGACUUAACCAGUACAGGACUUGCUGCAGCGGAGCCUGAGCUGGAUAUGGAAAGCAAAAGAAGCAAGAUCUCCCUAUGUUGCCAAGGUUGGUCUGGAACUCCUGAGCUCAAGUGAUCCUCCUGCCUCAGCCUCCUAAAGUGUUAGAAUUAUUGAUGUGAGCCACUGCAUGUGGUCAAUUCUGUCAUUCUUGACAACAAGGAUGAAGCUGGGAGAUACUGUGCUGAGUAGAAUAAACCAAGCACAAAAAGACAAGUGCCUCAUGAGCUCACUUAUAUGUAGAAUCUGUAACAGUCGAACUCAUCAGAGAGCAGAAUAAUGGUUACCAGGGACUAGCAGUAGGCUGGAGGGAGAGGUGGGGAGGUGUCGGUGAAAUAAUAUAAAAUUUCAGUUAGAAAAAAUAAGAUUUAAGAGAUCUAUUGCACAACAUGGUGACUAUAGUUAUUAACACUGUAUUAUAUUCUUGAAAAUCACUAAGAUUUUAAUAUUCUCACCACAAAAAAUAAGCAUGUGAGGUA